GACGAACGCUGGCGGCGUGCUUAACACAUGCAAGUCGAACGGCAAGGCCCUGCUUUUUUGGGGUGCUCGAGUGGCGAACGGGUGAGUAACACGUGUGUAACCUGCCCUUCACUUUGGGAUAACUUCAGGAAACUGGGGCUACUACCGGAUAGCAGCUCCUGCUGCAUGGUGGGGGUUGGAACUUCUCGGCGGUUGGGGAUGGACUCGCGGCUUAUCAGCUUGUUGGUGGGGUAGUGGCUUACCAAGGCUUUGACGGGUAGCCGGCCUGUGAGGGUGAACGGCCACAUUGGGACUGAGGUACGGCCCAGACUCCUACGGGAGGCAGCAGGGGGGAAUAUUGCACAAUGGGCGGAAGCCGGAUGCAGCAGCGCCGCGGGCGGGAUGACGGCCUGCGGGUUGUAAACCGCUUUAGCCUGUGACGAAGCGGGAGUGACGGUAAUGGGUAAAGAAGCACCGGCUAACUACGUG
rnacentral:rRNA from 1 species